UUGUUCUCCAUCCUGUCCCCCAGGCUGAAGGAGUACCACAUAGUGGAAGUCGAGGUGACGGGCGCCAACGGCUUCUCUGUGACCUCUGUGCGGCGUAACCCCGCCCAGCUGGGGGCAGUGACGGGGAGUGCCACCUACGCAUCCUUCUGGAGCAGCUUGCUGGCAUGUAAAGGCCAGAGAGCCGGAGUCUGCCUGUGCUGAGCGAGCUGGAGCCGCUGGCUGUGAACCACGCUUUCUGAAAUUAGGCCUCGCAUACAAAUGGAGUUUUGAAGAAGCUGCAUGACAUUUGUUUCAGGAAGAAUUUGUCUGUCACAGUGUAUCUUAAUAAAACAACUUAUUUGA